GAUGAACGCUGGCGGCGUGCCUAAUACAUGCAAGUCGAGCGAACAGACGAGGAGCUUGCUCCUCUGACGUUAGCGGCGGACGGGUGAGUAACACGUGGAUAACCUACCUAUAAGACUGGGAUAACUUCGGGAAACCGGAGCUAAUACCGGAUAAUAUAUUGAACCGCAUGGUUCAAUAGUGAAAGACGGUUUUGCUGUCACUUAUAGAUGGAUCCGCGCCGCAUUAGCUAGUUGGUAAGGUAACGGCUUACCAAGGCGACGAUGCGUAGCCGACCUGAGAGGGUGAUCGGCCACACGGGAACUGAGACACGGCCCAGACUCCUACGGGAGGCAGCAGUAGGGAAUCUUCCGCAAUGGGCGAAAGCCUGACGGAGCAACGCCGCGUGAGUGAUGAAGGUCUUCGGAUCGUAAAGCUCUGUUAUUAGGGAAGAACAAAUGUGUAAGUAACUAUGCACGUCUUGACGGUACCUAAUCAGAAAGCCACGGCUAACUACGUG
rnacentral:rRNA from 1 species